GCCUGCUGGCGUCGUCCGGGCCCGUGGACACCCUUGCUUCGAAGGAUAGACAUUCCAAUUUAAACCUUGAUCUUAGGUGCGAGCGAAUCUUUCAAUUCCAAAUUCCAAUUUUACCGAAAAACAGGAAAUCAGGUUGAGAGAGAGAUGGAGAUGGAGAUAUUGGGGAUGAAUUUCAGCUGUGUAUUGAGAUCUCUAAGCGAAUGGAAAAUCCCUGACAACGAUUGCUUGCUUCCCCUCAUCUCUAAGCUCCUCGGCUACUGUAUCGUCGCUGCUUCCACCACCGUCAAAGUCCCACAGAUAUUGAAAAUUUUGAAACAUAGUAGUGUCAGGGGCCUUAGUGUUACAGCCUUUGAGCUUGAAGUUGUGGGCUACACUAUUGCUUUGUCAUACUGUCUUCACAAAGGGCUUCCUUUCUCAGCCUAUGGGGAGUUAUUUUUUCUUUUGAUCCAAGCUAUAAUUUUAGUUGGUAUUAUUUACUAUUAUUCCCAACCCAUGGGUGCCAAAGCGUUGAUCAAGGCAGCACUAUAUUGUGCUAUAGCACCUACUGUUUUAGCUGGUCAGAUUGAUCCUGUUCUUUUCGAGGCCCUCUAUGCUUCUCAGCAUGCAAUUUUUUUCUUUGCAAGGGUCCCACAGAUAUGGAAGAACUAUACUAACAAAAGCACCGGGGAGCUCAGCUUUUUGACAUGUUUCAUGAACUUUAGUGGUUCUCUUGUAAGAGUAUUCACUAGCAUUCAGGAAGAAGCUCCAAAAAGUGUGAUUUUGGGCUCCCUGCUUGGGAUUGUGAUGAACGGCACAAUCCUGACCCAGAUUCUCGUAUACCAAAAGCCACAGAUGAAGAAAGAGAAGAAAGUACAAUAAAGCACGGACCUGGUUUCCCCAAAUAGUCUCGCAUCCAUGCAAGUUAGUCUUGAUGGCCAUGGUAUGGCACAGGCGAACAGGUUGAAAUUGUAGCCAAAAAGAGGUGGACCUCACUUGUAUGGUUGCGUAGAAAAAUGCAGUUUUGCUGGCAUAAGCGUCGUAUGUAUACUGCUGCUUAAUUGGGUGGAACCUAGGUUUAUUUUCUUAUCAUCCUUUGCGUUGUUUUCUUGGUGGAUUGCAUUCUAUGAAUAGUGAGAGAGGACUUGUAUGUGAUUCCUUGUCUUACCGUCGGUGCACCUAACUUGGAGAACUAGACAUUUGGAUUUUGCUUUAAAUGGCUUUGUAAUUGGAUACAAACAUCCAAUAUGAUUGCCUGAAUUAAGGGGUGGCCUUUAAAAAAAAAAAAAAUAAAUAAAAAU